GAAAGGUGGUGCCUCCCUCCCCUCCUCGAAAAGGAGACAAGCACUGUCCCGACCGCCUCUCCUACCCCACAUUCCCCUGCUCACAUCACCUUCUCCUCUCCAUUUGUUUUUGUUUCCGCAAAGCGUUCGCCACCCUCCCACCACUGAGUGCCGCUAUUCUGGCCCGAGAGCGACACAAAGGGAAGUGGCAAGGGCAGCGGCAGGAAUGACAGGGAAGGGGAGAAGAGCUGGAUGAAGGAAUGAGCCAGCUUGGACGUCCGCACACGCCUUAUGAUUGGGGCACUGGCGUGCGCGUGCGUGUGCAGCGCGCCUGCCAGGCGCCGUAUUUCAGCGUCUUCCGCGAGGAGAACACGCGCCAAGCAGACACGGUGUACGAGGGACGCUUGGGCCGCGCUGGCGCCGGCGCGUAUCCAGCUAUUCAGGACGACGGGCUGCGCCUCUUGUAUUUUCCUUACAGAAAUGCAGCGCCUGUGCACUGCAUUACGGCGGAGGCCGCAGGCGUAGCAGCCGAGACGGUGACGCUGGUCGGUGCCACCGGGACGAUGGGCAAGUUCGUAGCAGAGCAGUACCUGCGCCGCGGCGUUAGUGUGACAGUGCUGGCACGCGAUAUUGCAAAGGCCAAGUCGCUUUUUUUGCCGAUUGCAGAUGGCCAGCGUGAGCAAAAUCGAUUGGCGUCUAUGGGGUACAGGCAGCUUAGCGGUACGGCGGAGAAGCGGGAACUGACGGCGUCUCUCCACUACAGAGACUCUCGGCGGGAGGACCGCCACGUGCUGCGAUAUGAGUUCCGCAACUCGCGGAGUGUUGGGGGCCCCAGCGCCGGCAGCGCCAAUGCCAGUUGCGACCAGCGUUUCGCCCUGGAGCUCGUCGAGGGCGACGUGGGGUCCACGCAGGACCUCGAGUUUUCGAUGCGGCACGCAAGCGUCGUGUUCUACCUUGCCGCUGCGCUUGAGGAGGCGUCCGGCCCGGCGCUGCGGGCAGAUGAUCGUCUCAGCUCCUCGGCUGCAUGGUGGAGCCCCGGGUCGUGGUUUGGGAGCGGCCGACGUUUUGGCGGCUUCUUGCACGCCCUCGACGCCUGUCGCCGCGUCGACGCCCACUUCGUCGCCCUGACGCCACUGUGGGUGCACGGGUCGUGUCUAUCGCCGCUUUACUGGUAUCGCAGACUCCUGACGUACCCGCGCGGGUACUGCAAGGCUGUGCAGCUGCAGGAGCAGACGCUGCUUAGUCAGAGCGGUAGCCCAGGUGCGCGCUGCAGUUUGGGGGCUGAUGAGCUGGAGGAGCGGCAGCCGGGUGGGGACUGGGGUUGCUGGUGGCGCAGUCGGUUCUCGGAUCUACCGGACGACAUUCUGAUAAAGUCGCGCAGUCCGGUGCGCUUUUCGCUUUUCCGGCUCUCUGACGUUGUCUUUCCAAGCUUCAACGAGCGCAUUGUCGCUUCCAAGAACAACCGCGUCGACGACGACCUUCACGUCAAGUCCAUUCAGCAGGGUGAUUUAGACGCGCGACUGCUGGCAAACGUCUUGGUGAAAUCCAUUGGGCUGUGCAACUCCGUUGUGGAGAGCCGCAUCGACAUUGGUGGACGCUUGCGGGGCGGCGUUGACAUGCGGGACGCUAACGCUAUCUUCGAUCUCUUUGAGCAGUUACGAAACGAGUAGAGGAGGCGUAGCUGAAACGGACUGGCACGCGCCGUGGGAGCAGUAUGUCAAGUGAAACACCGUGAGCAACCCGCAAUGCGGUCCACCGCGUUUUUUCUUUGCUCUCCUUACGCCGUAUCCCCUUUUUAUCGGGUGAUGCGUGCGUGAACGGGAGUGCCGAGCCUGUGUGGCGUUGUAGGCUUUUCACUUGCGCUUCGUGUUUUAAUA
rnacentral:misc_RNA from 1 species